ACAAUCGACCCCAAAUGAAAACCCCACCCCGCUCCCAUUCCCGUCGCCGCCCUCUUCCCCCACCACUGCAACCACGCCUUCCGCCACACCACACCGCUGCACAUCAUCAAUCCACAAAGGUCGCCUAAACGGCUACCCAAUUAGCCCUAUUAUGCUUUUAGAACUGACUUCCAAAACUCGAAACUUUGGAAACGUGUAGAGCAAAAGAUUUGGUUCGGCGGCCUCGACGAGCGGAGAACGACGGAAGCGAUGGACAUUCCGGCGAAAACGGGCAAUAAGCGACGGCAAUCAACGCGAAAGAUAUGAGGCAACUAAUUAAGCGAUCGAGUGUCGAUGAAGGAGUUGGAACAUCCAAUGGAAGAACAAAGCAACAGAUAGCUCUAAACGGCGAAAGGCAGUUAGGUUAAUUUGUUAAUGAGAAACAUUGAUAAACAUGGAAUGAGCGGAUAGAAACUUCAAACACUCCAAAAAAAAGGUGGUUGCUUGAGUCAAUAAAAAUAAACAAAACCCUAAAGAAGCUUCAGCCGCCCUUCACUCUGCAGGAAAAAGGAGAGAAAAGACUCCAAGGAAGAUGAAACGGCAGAAAGGGCAAAAUGAUCACCCAAAGAGCACACUUGACAUGUCAGACAUGGGGGGCUCAAACCUAUUCUACGCCAUCAACAGAUAACAGAAUAGAUAAUGAAGAGAUUCAUGAUUGUGAAGGGUGCCACUACUAGAAAAUUGGCUUGUAAUGACACUUAAAAUUGUCACUAGAAAAUUACUGUGCUGACACUUCAUCUAUAAUGGCACUUAUGCAAGUGCAGCACCGGGUACCUGUAGUAAGAGGUAGUGUGUAGAUAGUACAUCUAUGAUUGCACUUUUUAUGUUGAAGUGCAGUAACAAUAUAUUAUAAAGUGCAGUGAAAAGCUAGUGUGUAGAUAGUACAUCUAUGCUGGCACUUUUUAUAAAGUGUGAUAAAAAAAGUGUAGUGAGAAGCAAUUUUUCUAGUAGUGUGCUAACUCUAUACAUGAAACAAAGAGAAGGAAGAAGAGGAGGAGGAUAAUACAAAAGAUUUUUCAGGGAAAAUAUGAUUUCCAACGAUGAAUGUACAAUAAGUACACUUUGGAAGAAAUCACUUGCAGAAUACUAUGAAGGGACAAAAGGGUAUUGGAAACUGAUUUAUUGAUCAGCGAGUGCUUUGCCAAAAUAUUGUAAUAGAAAAGGUUUCUUUAAUUAAAACCUAUACAAACCUAACAAAUAGAGGUUGCAGAACACGAAACACAAAAAUAAUCUAUGCAUAAAGACAUAUAAUUACAUAAGAAAAAAUAACAAAAUAUUUACACAUCAGCUGCACAUUUCCCACGAAAUAAUCUAUGCAUAAAGACAAAUAAUUACAUUAAGAAAUAUUAAAAAGAACAAUUACACUUCAGCUGCAUGUUUCCUGCCUAAAAGGGCAGCAUAGUCUUUUCAACCAACUGCUAAUUUUUAUUAGUAUAGAUGGUUGUCAGUUCUCAAAAUGACCAAAAGGGCAAAUAAAAUAGCUUCACAAUUUUCCGCCAAAAAGGGUAAAAAAGUCUUUUUAUUAAACUGCCACUUUAGAUUAUGAUAGAUUUGAACCAUACUAUUGGGCUUCGAUAGGUCACGAGAUUUCAUAGAUAUCGAUACAUAAAAAUUGGAAAAAAUCAGUUUAGAUUCGCUUGAAAAUUUCAAUUGAGUUUGGACUUUGGAGUAAUUCUAUAUUUAUAGUACUACGUCAAUCAUUAUGUCCAUCAGUUAUUCAAGAAUUCGAUCGUAUUUGUGAACAGAAUCCUCGUUAUUAGUCAAUCAAAACAAUAAGCAUAGUAUUAAAUUAGUAGAUUAUUUGUAGAUGAAAUUUGAAUAAAAAAUAUCGAAAACACUCAAUCCUAAGAGCAUCCACAAUAGCGGUCGUCCGGACGGACGAGCAAUCGGCUAGCGGCUCGUCCGUCGCGUUCGUCCACUAUUGUAGUCGGCGAGCGGGCGACGGACGAGCGGGGAGGACGAGCGGUCGUCCGCAGUGGGUUGGCGUUAGCCGGUCGCUCGUCCGCUGUUGUGGUGACGCGACGGACGAGCGGACGGAUGAAUGCAUUUUUCAAUUUUUUUGUUUUGUUUUAUUGGUUAGAGCGUCGGUUAGUCCUAGUGUCAAGCUAUUAUUGUACAGUGGUUAGUUCUAGUGAAAUGAGAUGAUGUGUCUUUGGUUAGUCUGUUCAAUAGUGGAUGCUCUGCCUAAGGCCAUCCGCAAUGGCGCCUAGCGCACCGCCUAGCCGAGCGCCAGUGCUAGGCGGUCCAUUGCAACCGCCCAACCAUUUUCGGAAUUAAAAACCGCCUAGCGCUCGACGAUUUCGUG